rnacentral:rRNA from 1 species
UGAGCCAAGUUUAGGGUUUCUUAAAAACCCAAAGAUGUUUGAACUGAAGAGUUUGAUCAUGGCUCAGAUUGAACGCUGGCGGCAGGCCUAACACAUGCAAGUCGAGCGGCAGCACGGGUACUUGUACCUGGUGGCGAGCGGCGGACGGGUGAGUAAUGCCUAGGAAUCUGCCUGGUAGUGGGGGAUAACGCUCGGAAACGGACGCUAAUACCGC